UACGUAGGGGGCAAGCGUUGUCCGGAAUCAUUGGGCGUAAAGCGCGUGUAGGCGGCUAGGUAAGUCUGCUCUGAAAGCCCGGGGCUCAACCCCGGGAGGCGGGUGGAUACUGUCUAGCUCGAGUCCGGAAGAGGAGUGUGGAAUUCCUGGUGUAGCGGUGAAAUGCGUAGAUAUCAGGAGGAACACCGGUGGUGUAGACGGCUAUCUGGACCGUAACUGACGCUGAGGCACGAAAGCGUGGAUAGCAAACAGG
rnacentral:rRNA from 1 species